GAGUUCUGCAUACAGCAUCAAACAAGAUCCCAUCUAGAAUUCGUAUUUCAGCUAAUCAUUGCUGGAUAAUUCAGAAAGCUCUGCUUCUUCCUGGUCAAAACCAAAGUUAUCUUCUGGCAGUGAGAUCUGAGCAUAGUGCUUCACUGCUCUUGCUUCUUCGUAAGUAAGGGUUUCACUGGGUAAUCCAGCACUGUGUAGUUCAGUGAUAUUUGGCUUCCAGCCUGUGUAUUUUAUAAGGCUCUAAAUCUGCCUGUCAAGAGAAAGAACAGAAAGGUAACAACUGCUAGUUAAAUCAAAUCACUUCUCCUAAAUUGGACAAAUUUGGUUAGCCUCUGAUGCUCCCUGGCCCAAGUCCAUGUCAGCAAGAAUGACUGUGCUCAAUCAAGGCUAAGC
rnacentral:lncRNA from 1 species